UACGAAGGGGGCAAGCGUUGUUCGGAAUCACUGGGCGUAAAGGGUGCGUAGGCGGGUCUUUAAGUCAGGGGUGAAAUCCUGGAGCUCAACUCCAGAACUGCCUUUGAUACUGAAGAUCUUGAGUCCGGGAGAGGUGAGUGGAACUGCGAGUGUAGAGGUGAAAUUCGUAGAUAUUCGCAAGAACACCAGUGGCGAAGGCGGCUCACUGGCCCGGUACUGACGCUGAGGCGCGAAAGCGUGGGGAGCAAACAGG
rnacentral:rRNA from 1 species